UGGCCUAUUCCUAUUUACGACCUCUUUCU
rnacentral:piRNA from 1 species